GUGAAGAACGCAGCGAAAUGCGAUAAGUAAUGUGAAUUGCAGAAUUCAGUGAAUCAUCGAAUCUUUGAACGCACAUUGCGCCCCCUGGUAUUCCGGGGGGCAUGCCUGUUCGAGCGUCAUUUCAUCACUCAAGCCUCGCUUGGUAUUGGGCAACGCGGUCCGCCGCGUGCCUCAAAUCGACCGGCUGGGUCUUCUGUCCCCUAAGCGUUGUGGAAACUAUUCGCUAAAGGGUGUUCGGGAGGCUACGCCGUAAAACAACCCCAUUUCUAAGGUUGACCUCGGAUCAGGUAGGGAUACCCGCUGAACUUAAGCAUAUCAAUAAGCGGAGGA
rnacentral:misc_RNA from 1 species